UGCGCGCGAGCAAGCAAGGUGCAGGCGUCCGGCUGUUAACCGGAAACGAGCCUGGUUCGAUUCCAGGGCGCGCAGCCA
rnacentral:tRNA from 1 species